GGCUAUGUAGCUCAGCUGGUUAGAGCAUCGCACUCAUAAUGCGGGGGUCACAGGUUCGAAUCCCGUCAUAGCCACCA
rnacentral:tRNA from 2 species